rnacentral:tRNA from 1 species
GGCUGGGUNGCGAUCGCCUGAAAAGCGAUAGGUCGCCGGUUCGACCCCGGCCCCAGCCA